GGGUCUGUCAAGUGACGGAUUCAAUCCAUUUGGGGUAAUGAGCUCUGGUUGGUCUACUUGGCCAGUUGUACUAAUGCCAUAUAAUUUACCUCCAUUGCUUUGUAUGAAACAGCCAUUUAUGAUACUUUCAUUACUGAUACCCGGUAAACAUGCACCUGGAAAUGAUAUUGAUGUUUACUUAGAGCCUCUAAUUGAUGAGCUGAAACAACUAUGGUCUGAGGGUAUUGUAACAUAUGAUGCCCAUUUAAAAGAAUCGUUUAGAUUACGUGCUAUUCUAUUAUGGACGAUUAAUGAUUUUCCAGCCUAUGCUAAUCUGUCUGGGUAUUCCACAAAGGGAAAGUGUGCUUGUCCUGUAUGUGGUCCGGAAUUUGAAGCUCUUCAAUUACCACAUAGCCGAAAGAGUUGUUAUUGGUUUAAUCGAAGGUGGUUGCCCUUGAGUCAUAAGUACAGAAAAUUAUCAGCUAAGUUUGAUGGCACAGUUGAGAAAAGAAUGAAGCCGCGUCAACUCACAGGUACUGAGAUCGUUCAAUUACUUGAGGGGUUUCCAAAAGUUGUGUUUGGGAAAAAACGCUAUUCUAAAUUUAGCCCGCUCAGAGUAAGAGAUUAUUUAAAGUCAAAAAGGCCACUGAAGCGUAAGCGAAAGGUCCGGAAAAUGCAAGUUGAGGAAGAAGACCAAAAAUUACCUAGAGGAUGGACUAAAUUUAGUAUCUUCUUUCAGCUACCUUAUUGGCAAAAUCUUAAAAUCCGCCACAACUUAGAUGUCAUGCAUAUUGAGAAAAAUAUAUGUGAUAACAUAGUAUCAACUCUCCUACAAGAUGCAAACAAGUCGAAGGAUGAUCUACGGGCGCGCCAAGAUCUGACUGCUUUGAAUAUCCGAAAUGAUUUGCAAGCUCAAGAUGUUGGACUUAAAAAAUUAAAGUUGCCUCCGUCUCGUGUUACACUGACAAAUGAGCAGAUGCAACGAUUUUGUGAAAUUCUCAAAUCAGUAAAGUCUCCGGAUGGUUACUCUGCUAACAUUUCAAAUAAUGUCCAAGUGCAAGAGCGAAAACUCUUAGGUCUGAAGACCCAUGAUUAUCACGUUCUUCUCCAUCAAUUGCUUCCUGUUGCAAUCCGUAACAAUAUGGAUAAAGAAGCGUCGAAGAUUAUUAUUGAGUAUUGUGGGUUUUUCAGAAAAUUAUGCUCUAAAGUCAUAGAUGUAGAUGAAUUUAAAAAACUUGAAGCUGAGGUCCGAGUUACUCUAUGCAAUAUGGAAGUAAUAUUCCCUCCUUCUUUUUUUACGGUUAUGGUCCAUCUUACCCAGCAUCUUGCAAGAGAGGCUAGAAUCGCCGGACCUGUUACUUAUCGUUGGAUGUAUCCGAUUGAGAGAUACUUGGGCUCCAUGAAACAUAAUGUUCGCAAUCGAGCUCGUCCAGAAGGCUCGAUAGCUGAAGGAUACGUGGCAAAUGAAUGCUUUAUUUUUGCAUCACGUUACAUGCGCCAGAAGAAAACCACGGCUCAAGUACCAGAUAAGGAGAGAAAGCGUGAAAAAUAUCCGAGAUCUCUCUUAGAACAAAUUCAUGCAUAUGUGCUGGAAAACCUUGAUAUGUUCGCAGACUAUCGAAGGUAACAAAUAACACCCGAAAUAUAGAUGAGACUAUUCAUUUUACAUAAUGUUCGCAAUGCAAACUUAUAUAUUGUUUAUGUAGGCGACAUUUGGAGAAGCUUAAGAAUGAAACAACCGGUAGGAAUGCAGCGCAUAAUAUUCAGAAAAGACAUAGGAAAGAAUUUUCUGAUUGGUUAAGAUUUGAUGUUGAUAAAUCACUUCUUGAUGGUACUACGUUACCAGAUGAAAUUAUUAUACAUGCACAACGCCCUUAUUAUGAAGUGAGACGUUAUAAU